rnacentral:tmRNA from 1 species
GGGGUUGACUGGAUUUGACAGCGGGUAGAGAUGGUACGUAAGCACGCGGAGCGUCGGAUGUUGGCUCCUAAAUCUCAGCGUUCAAACAAUUAAUUGGCAACAAUCAGUAUGCUCUCGCUGCCUAAUCGAAGUAUAGUAGAUUACUGGCUUUAUUCCGCCACAAGGUGACGGAACGGGACGUCGCUCUAAGGAUGUUGUUCCGAAUCUGAAGGUUCAGCGGCGCAGGAAAAUCGGAAAUAGUCAUCGGAAAGCCUCGGUCUGGUGAUGAAAUUUUUGAGGCUAAGGCUGUAAUUGGUGGUUUGGGUCUUGUUGCAGCACGAAAAUGAAGUCCAAAAUAAGCGUGUAGAAAGCGUAUGGUUUCCCUGUUUGGACGAGGGUUCGACUCCCUCCAGCUCCAC